UAAGGCGUAGCUCAACUGGUAGAGCGCUGGUCUCCAAAACCAGUGGUUGCAGGUUCAAGUCCUGUCGCCUUAA
rnacentral:tRNA from 2 species